CAUUGAGAUGAUGAUAUCCUUUUUUCUGAAUUAAAACAUAAUGUAGACUUAAAAUUAUCAGGCUACAAUUAUCUGAUCAUUA